UAGGGAAUCUUCGGCAAUGGGGGCAACCCUGACCGAGCAACGCCGCGUGAGUGAAGAAGGUUUUCGGAUCGUAAAGCUCUGUUGUAAGAGAAGAACGUGUGUGAGAGUGGAAAGUUCACACAGUGACGGUAACUUGCCAGAAAGGGACGGCUAACUACGUGCCAGCAGCCGCGGUAAUACGUAGGUCCCGAGCGUUGUCCGGAUUUAUUGGGCGUAAAGCGAGCGCAGGCGGUUUAAUAAGUCUGAAGUUAAAGGCAGUGGCUUAACCAUUGUUCGCUUUGGAAACUGUUAAACUUGAGUGCAGAAGGGGAGAGUGGAAUUCCAUGUGUAGCGGUGAAAUGCGUAGAUAUAUGGAGGAACACCGGUGGCGAAAGCGGCUCUCUGGUCUGUAACUGACGCUGAGGCUCGAAAGCGUGGGGAGCAAACAGG
rnacentral:rRNA from 1 species